CCUACGGGAGGCAGCAGUGGGGAAUAUUGGACAAUGGGCGAAAGCCUGAUCCAGCCAUGCCGCGUGAGUGAAGAAGGCCCUAGGGUUGUAAAGCUCUUUCAGCGGGGAAGAUAAUGACGGUACCCGCAGAAGAAGUCCCGGCUAACUUCGUGCCAGCAGCCGCGGUAAUACGAAGGGGACUAGCGUUGUUCGGAAUUACUGGGCGUAAAGCGCGCGUAGGCGGACGCUUAAGUCAGGGGUGAAAUCCCAGGGCUCAACCCUGGAACUGCCUUUGAUACUGAGCGUCUGGAGUUCGGGAGAGGUGAGUGGAAUUCCGAGUGUAGAGGUGAAAUUCGUAGAUAUUCGGAGGAACACCAGAAGCGAAGGCGGCUCACUGGCCCGAGACUGACGCUGAGGCGCGAAAGCGUGGGGAGCAAACAGGAUUAGAUACCCUUGUAGUC
rnacentral:rRNA from 1 species